UAUACACUGCAUGCCGAAAGUUCCACAAACUCUUUCGAAUGGUCACCCAUUCAAAGUAUUUCCCUAAGAAUAGUGAAGUUAUUUUUGUAGGAGAGAGUGUUCUUUUGUCCCAAUUGUGUUCUUGGAUCUGGGCCGUUUUGAACGCCCCUGUGCGGGCACAACUAGCUAUGCCCGGCAUGCUACUCUGGUCCAGCAACAAAAAGAAAACCUGACAAUUAUGCAAAACCACGAUGGAGUGUAAAUCCGGUCCAUCGGUACCAUUCAAAGUGUACCAUUCAUAGAGCAUGCGCCCCGUAAUCCUUUAGUCAAGUCGAGAAAUGUUCGGCCAGCGCCCAAGAAUGAAAUAAACCCGGCCAACUGCUAGUAGUGCCACUAGAUACUGCGGGGCUGCGCACCUACUGUAAUGUAAUCGCCUCUGUAAUGUAAUCACAGAUUUCUUAGACCGCGUUUUCUGAUCUGGUGCGGGGAUCUCUUUACAUUGCGCACCGCGUACCCCAUUGGCCAGGGGCAUUCAUCGUUACUGGGGGUUUCGCAUUACACCAGUCUACUGACCAAUGGAAAUGUGACCGAAAAAAGGGGCCAGCCUUGCGUAGUCCAGCUCAGGAAUGCUUGAACCAGGGGUCAGAUUGUGUGGGUAGGGCCGGCCAGCAUGGCCAGUCAGUGUGAAGAUUUGGGAAACCUUGACAAAGUUAGUGGAUAGAAUUUGAGGUCUUCCGUGGUACAUGUUUCGACUCCGUACGCCAAGCUCAGGAUAUAACAAUGUUCAAGUCCGAGUUCAAACUAGCUGGACCAGGGAUGUCGUCCAAAGUGGUUGACUUAAACAUAGCUGCACCGCUUGCGACAGAUGAAACAGAGAACAUGGACUUGGAUGCUGAUAUUGACGCUGGUAAGUGCCUAUCAACAGAAAGUUAAUCGAUUUAGUGCCUUCUAUAAGCCAGGUCAACUGUAGAAAGUUCGUAAGGAAAAACUGGUGUGGAAGUUCUUGAACUGAAAAUAUGAGGAUUAUGUAUUUUUAUUUCAGACGUCUUUAAGCGUAAGCUUUCAGUUGUUAUACUGCCGGAAAAAAAAUUGCAAGAUUUCAAUUUGAAUCAUGGUUAGGAAACUUUUAAAAAUCCGCUAGA